UCCAUGCAAUAUCAAAAAAAAAAAGCAACUUGAAAAUCAAUGCAAACGUUGUGUGGAUCCAGUUUAAGACCUGCAAUACAUAGUCUUCAGUAGAGGCGUCAACCACAAAAAAAUGAUAAAUUAAUAAAUGCAGCAAACAUGUUUUUCCCCCUCUUGACAACAACUCUAAUGCAUAUGUAUGCCCUUCAGAAAUUAGCAUAUGGCACUGUAAAUAUUAAUUAAGCACCACUAGUUGGAUAAUGGUUCAGAAAUACAACUUUUAUCACACAGUAUUCUUGAAAGUUUUCAUUUUCAUUUUAAUAUUCCCAUUUGAUGAAGUCUCCAUAAUUCUUUUCAGUUCCAAUAUGUCACACCCCAAGUGAACCUUCUUAUAUGGUUAGGAACACUAACAGGAAUUAAAUUAUCAAAAAUAAUAAAAUAAGGGAAAAUAAAGAAGAUGAAGAAAAGGUUGCAGGGUACCAUUUCCACACAGAUUUGCA
rnacentral:misc_RNA from 1 species